rnacentral:sRNA from 1 species
GCAGAGAUAGAAGGCAGUUUGUCAUGUAUAAAUUUAACAGGCAAUAAUGCCAGCUUCUAAAUUGUAUAUCAUUCUUAACGAUGUUGUCAGCCCCUAAUCAGUCUAAUUUAUAUUGUCAACAUGAUGUAAUGGUCCCACCAGGCAUGGGGCUUCACAAAUACAGGAUCCAAUCAUGUAAGAGACUAAAGUGAAUUUCCACCAGUUAUGACUGAAAAUUAAAUUAGGAUUACUGACUUACGUUUUGGAGCUCAGAGAGAAUGUAUAUGAAACUCCCAGCCUGGGCCCUACACCUAGUAGGCACACAGCUGCUACUGCUGCGAGCUGCCGUUGCUGUGACGUUUCCUGGAGUGCUGUUAUGUGGCUGUUGACAUCUCCCUGUAGCCCUGGAGGCUGAAGCAGAGGAGAAAGCCAGCAGAUUUGGAUACAGAACUCUCAGCUCCUUCUCCAGCAUCAUUCAUGCCUCUGUGCAACCACACUCCCUGCCGUGAUGACAAGGGACUGACCCUCUGAAAUUGUAAGCAAGCCUACAAUUAAAUGCUUCCUUUUAACAGUUGCCUUGAUCGUGGUGGUUCAUCACAGCAAUAAAAC